CCUACGGGAGGCUGCAGUCGAGGAUCUUCGGCAAUGGGCGCAAGCCUGACCGAGCGACGCCGCGUGCGGGAUGAAGGCCUUCGGGUUGUAAACCGCUGUCAGGGGGGAUGAAAUCACAGUGGGUACUCCCAUUGUGUUGACAGAGCCCCAGAGGAAGCGCGGGCUAAGUUCGUGCCAGCAGCCGCGGUAAUACGAACUGCGCGAACGUUAUUCGGAAUCACUGGGCUUACAGGGUGCGUAGGCGGCGGAGAAAGUAGGGUGUGAAAUGCCUUGGC
rnacentral:rRNA from 1 species